GACGAGGCGGGAAGGGGCUGGGGCCGAGAGGACACUGAGGCAGGGUCUGGGGCAGGAAUGCCCCAACGCAGUGCAGCUGGGAAGGCCCUCCCGGCGUGGGAGAGGAGGGCGGGCCUGAUUGCAAGUCCUUUUGGCUGGGCCGGGGGCUGAGCCUGAUGGAGCUGAGCCUCCCCGCAGCCCCCGACUGCCGGGAUUGGCAGAACGCCUACAGGUCGUGCACUGGCAACACCUCCACGUGCCGGACGGAGCGUCCAGAUGUCAGGGCCACUGCUCCCUCGGGGCGCCCAGCCAGCCGUCACCGCAGCGGUUCAGACGUGCAUGAUGGUCCCACCUGCCAGAGGGAACACUGACGUCACCCUCCAGGGACAAAAGGAUUCCACCUCCUAAAUGCUUCAGGAAGAGAAGGGGCAGGUGUUCCCGGAGCCGGGCUGCGGGUGAGGGCCCGGGCAGGCUGGAAAGAAGGUGACAAGCUCCCCACCACCCCCAGAGACCCCCAGAGACCCCAGACCACCGCCUGCCGUUUCCAUCACUUCCAUCAUGACGCCAAGCAGCAGGGCAGGGGACAGUUCGCGUUCCCACAUCCCCGGGUGUCCAUACUUCAGAGCGCUGCGGAUACGAGCGCGUCCCCGCCUGCAGCCUCCCCUCAUCUCCAGGGUAAGUAGUACUAACUCCUUCAAGAGCUUCUUUGGAUGACACGUGUUCAGACCCCCUCACCUCUUGACCCAUGUCAGCUUUUCUCAAGCCCUCGUGGUUGACGCGUCGCCGGACCCCAGCGGCGUUUGACCGGCGCCCGUGGCGAUGGGGCCACACGUCCCCAUCCUGAACACGGCACUUCUAAGAAUAAAGCUCCGGGGCAAACCACACUCGUGUUCCAACGCUGUGUCACUCCUUCAACCGAUGUCAUCGAACGCGUGUGCACGCGUGUGCUAGGCUUCAGGGGACACAGAGCCCUCGCAGCAGAUCUGUGGCCUCUGCGUGUAUCUGGUGACAUCAGCCGUCUCCCGUGUCCCCACCGAGCGGCCACCCCUCCGGCUGAAUGCCUGGCACAGAGCCCGGCCAGAGUCGGUGUCCACAGCAAGCCAGCCGCGUGGAUGUGUGGUGGCCGAGUACAGCCCAGUGAGAGGCGUCAGCACCAUCGUAGGAAGCCUUCGUCACCGUGCGGGGCAGGGGACGACAAGAGGACAGACCCCCCACGUGGGACUAUGUCCUUGUGUGGUCUCCUUCCCUACCGUGAAGACAAAGCUAUACGGAUGACAUCUGGAGAAUGAACAACCAGGAGCCAGGCGCGAAGCUGUUUGCUGGACACGGAGACACUCCCGUCCUCUGGUAACUAAUGCUGAGUGACCGACACACACACCGGGGAGCUGCAGACAUCUGGGAACUCAGUGGCUCCAGCACUGAAGCGUCCCCAGGGGAAUUGCAAGAGACGCGUGGUGUCCUCAGGACGGUACGGGCUGUGUGACUGCAUAUUCCCAGUAGAGCCGUGAAACCAUCACCACCAUCCAAUUUUGGAAUGUUUGGCAAUCAGUCUCCACCCCACUCACACACCCCCGCGCGCACCCCCAGCCCUGAACAACCACUCACCGAUCGGCUUUCUGUUCCUAUCAAUUUGCCUCCAGAGACGAAUUCUGGACAUUUCACAUCCAUGAAAUCAGAAACGUGUGGUCUCUUAGGACCGCCUGCUCUCACUUAGCACAACGUUUGCAAGGGUCAUCCGUGUGGCAGCGCGUGCUAGGACUUCAUUUCUACUUCUUGCUGGAUAACGUGCCAUCGUGCGGAUCUGUCACAGUUCGUUUAUCCCCUCGGCACCUGAUGGACAUCGGGUCGUCUUCACUUCGCGGCUAUUGUAAAUAGCGCCGCUAAAAAAUUCACGUAAUUUGUGUGCGCGUGGAUGACGCUUUCAUCUUCUUGGGCUCGCACCUACGAGUGGACUUUCUGGGUCAUGUGGUGGGUAAUGCUAUGACUAACUUUAACCUGAUGCCCCUUGGUGAUUAUUUAAGAUCCUUCCUGUUAGGAAAAUAAUUGGUCAGAACAUACGGGCCUCUUUGAGGAUUCUGAUGCAUGGUGACAAAUAACACGCCUCAAAAUUAUACCAGCUUCUGCUGCCUUAACCGUGAACAUGUGGGGUCCAGAGGCUCUUUAGGGCUCAGACCCACAACCAUCCCAUCUCUGUUUGGACCUGCAGGGUCUCCCACGGCAGCCCGCUGGACAGGGCUUAGUAGAAGGAGCCAGAAGGUCUGGCUUCCUCUCCCAGGCCUGCUUCUCGCUGCUGGACGGGCCACCCGGAGGAAGUUAUCUCUUCCUUCGCGAAAGGAAGAGAAUCCCAGGAAGCUCCUCCCUCCCCUGGGAUGAAAGGGGCCCUCAGUGCUGCGGCCACGGCCUGUGAGGUUCUCUCUCCUGAAUGUCCCCCCACCCCAAGGUCUUCCUGGAGGCCGAGUGGACAGGCCGCCCCACGGGUCUGCCCGGUCGGCCGGCGGUCCACGCGUUAAAGGGCUGAGGGGAGCCCGUGUCUCUGGCCCGGUCCACGGUGCCCGCGCCUGGACGGUGACCAGGGUUCAAAGUCUCUACCGCAAGCCCCGCAGAGCACCUGUCCCAGGGUUUAUGGGAGAUUGCACCUGCCUUCAGGGUGCUGAGAAAGUGAUCAGAGGCCUGGAACCGGGAAUCCGGCCUGGGGCCUGGUGUCAAGAUUCCAACAGAAUGAGACAUGCGUCCCAACCCUCGUGUGGGGGCCACAGGGCAGACCGGGUCAAACGGACACACCCCUCGUCCAGAGAGACACCUGUUCCCGCCAGAGGAGACCUGAUCGCUAGCUCGAUUUCCCUUGCUAGGCACAGAGGGCUUAUUCGAGAGAUGCAGAUACUUAACUAAGAUGUGCUGUUAGGCGUAAGCAUCUGCCACGUCCUGGGCACGUGGCACACGUCACUGGUAGUCCUCACAGCAAUCUUGAGGGUAGGCCUUGCGCCUAUUUCCCAGGUGAAGAAACUGAGAUUCAGAGAGGUUAAGUAACUUUCCUGGGGCGCUGAAGCCAGAAGGCAGCAAAGCAGGGCUCAAAGCCGGGUCUGGCCCGUGCCGACAUCCGUGACGCUCUUUUCGUUUCGUGACGACGUCGGGGAUGUGACCAGGGACCCACCGACGGGUCUUUCCCCGGGCCAGGAAGGACCCGCCGUGGGCCAGGUGGUGAGCAGCGGGGGAGGAGAGGGCGAGCGUGCUGAGGUCCUGGCCCCACCAGAGCCCGCGGGGGACCCACCCGAGCGCCCUCCCGGGCCCUGACGUCUGGCCCCCCUCGUGUCGCUUCCCCCUCUUCCCCUGCAAAGCGCCUUGUGAAACGGGUUUCGCCUUCCAGCUCAGCUCUUGAGCCGAGGGAAGCUCUCGGGCCUCCUCGGGGUGUCUGUUGCUGGUGACAGGAACCGCUCGUGAUGAGUCACCCCCAGAGCAGUGUAUCAAAGAGCGGGGCAGACGCGGGUGGGUCUGGAGAGCGGCCGGUGUCAGCUCCGGGAAGCCGGCUGCUGGCGUGAGUCUGUGUGUGGGACAGAGGACAGUCCCCCAGGGAAGGAGCCUCGGGUCAGACCGCUGGCUGAGCAGAAGGCAGUCACGCGGCGCUGAAGAAAGCAAUCUCCAUCUGUGUCUGGGAGCCAGGGUGCCACAGGGUGCCAUCUGUGUCUGGGAGGUCAGGGCACCGCUCCUGACCCACGAGGCCUGGCCGGGGGCCCCCGGGGGUGACAGGGCCGGCUGCCGGUGGU